rnacentral:rRNA from 1 species
GCGAAGAACCUUACCAAGGCUUGACAUAUAGGGAAAAGUGGCAGAGAUGUCAUGUCCGCAAGGGCUCUAUACAGGUGGUGCAUGGUUGUCGUCAGCUCGUGUCGUGAGAUGUUGGGUUAAGUCCCGCAACGAGCGCAACCCUCGUUCUGUGUUGCCAGCAUUUAGUUGGGGACUCACAGGAGACUGCCGGGGUUAACUCGGAGGAAGGUGGGGAUGACGUCAAAUCAUCAUGCCCCUUAUGUCUUGGGCUGCACGCAUGCUACAAUGGCCGGUACAGAGGGCUGCAAUACCGCAAGGUGGAGCGAAUCCCAAAAAGCCGGUCUCAGUUCGGAUUGAGGUCUGCAACUCGACCUCAUGAAGUUGGAGUUGCUAGAAUCGAGAUCA